UUGCACGCUGGCGGCAGGCCUAACCCAUGCCAGUCGAACGGUAACAGAAAGCAGCUUGCUGCUUUGCUGACGAGUGGCGGACGGGUGAGUAAUGUCUGGGAAACUGCCUGAUGGAGGGGGAUAACUACUGGAAACGGUAGCUAAUACCGCAUAACGUCGCAAGACCAAAGAGGGGGACCUUCGGGCCUCUUGCCAUCGGAUGUGCCCAGAUGGGAUUAGCUUGUUGGUGGGGUAACGGCUCACCAAGGCGACGAUCCCUAGCUGGUCUGAGAGGAUGACCAGCCACACUGGAACUGAGACACGGUCCAGACUCCUACGGGAGGCAGCAGUGGGGAAUAUUGCACAAUGGGCGCAAGCCUGAUGCAGCCAUGCCGCGUGUAUGAAGAAGGCCUUCGGGUUGUAAAGUACUUUCAGCGGGGAGGAAGGGAGUAAAGUUAAUACCUUUGCUCAUUGACGUUACCCGCAGAAGAAGCACCGGCUAACUCCGUG
rnacentral:rRNA from 1 species